rnacentral:rRNA from 1 species
GAUGAACGCUGGCUACAGGCUUAACACAUGCAAGUCGAGGGGAAACGACGGGGAGGCUUGCUUCCCCGGGCGUCGACCGGCGCACGGGUGAGUAACGCGUAUCCAACCUGCCUCUGACUGAGGGAUAACCCGUCGAAAGUCGGCCUAAUACCUCAUGGCAUCGUCUGCGGGCAUCCAACGACGAUUAAAGAUUUCAUCGGUCAGGGAUGGGGAUGCGUCUGAUUAGCUUGUUGGCGGGGUAACGGCCCACCAAGGCUACGAUCAGUAGGGGUUCUGAGAGGAAGGUCCCCCACAUUGGAACUGAGACACGGUCCAAACUCCUACGGGAGGCAGCAGUGAGGAAUAUUGGUCAAUGGGCGGGAGCCUGAACCAGCCAAGUAGCGUGCAGGAUGACGGCCCUAUGGGUUGUAAACUGCUUUUAUGCGGGGAUAAAGUGAGGGACGUGUCCUUCAUUGCAGGUACCGCAUGAAUAAGGACCGGCUAAUUCCGUG